UGGGGAAUUUUGGACAAUGGGCGAAAGCCUGAUCCAGCAAUGCCGCGUGUGUGAAGAAGGCCUUCGGGCUGUAAAGCACUUUUGUCCGGAAAGAAAUCCUUGGCUCUAAUACAGUCGGGGGAUGACGGUACCGGAAGAAUAAGCACCGGCUAACUACGUGCCAGCAGCCGCGGUAAUACGUAGGGUGCAAGCGUUAAUCGGAAUUACUGGGCGUAAAGCGUGCGCAGGCGGUUUGCUAAGACCGAUGUGAAAUCCCCGGGCUCAACCUGGGAACUGCAUUGGUGACUGGCAGGCUAGAGUAUGGCAGAGGGGGGUAGAAUUCCACGUGUAGCAGUGAAAUGCGUAGAGAUGUGGAGGAAUACCGAUGGCGAAGGCAGCCCCCUGGGCCAAUACUGACGCUCAUGCACGAAAGCGUGGGGAGCAAACAGGAUUAGAUACCCUGGUAGUCCACGCCCUAAAACGAUGUCAACUAGUUGUUGGGGAUUCAUUUCCUUAGUAACGUAGCUAACGCGUGAAGUUGACCGCCUGGGGAGUACGGUCGCAAGAUUAAAACUCAAAUGAAUUGAC
rnacentral:rRNA from 1 species